rnacentral:rRNA from 1 species
AUGGAAGCCCCGUCGUCGAGCUUGAGCAGCCGUGUUGCCCCCGCCCCAUCCCCACUGCUUCCGCCGGUUCGCUACUACAUGCUGGACGAGCACGACGAGGAAGAGGAAGAAUGGCUAUCCCGUCCGACGUCUCCGGGCGGCGAGCCUCCCGGGCCAUGCGUGGGCGCCGGGUGGCUCCCGCCGCCGAUGUCCCCUCGCACAUGGAAGGCGGCAGCGGCGGCGGCCCAGCAGCCGGAACCGCCGCAAGACCAAGAAGAAGAUCCAGAGUCGGAACCAUAUCCAUACGACGAGCGGACGCUGUAUGCACCACGGCUCGACCCGGCGGCGCGGCAGCACCUCCAGACGAGCCUAGCUACGUCGGCCGCCGAGGACGCGCUGCACCACUACAACGCCGACGCCGGCAACAAGGUCAAGCUCGAGCUGACCAGGGCCACGAGAUACGCCGGCCUCUUGAACAGCCAGGGCUCGUAUCACCAUGUCAACUUCUUCGCCAGGGCCAUGAACGAGGAUGAUGCUUCUUCCUCCUCCGAAGAGGAAGAGCGCUUCUUCUUCGCCGAGUUGCACGAUCAGAACAGGCGUGGCCCUGGUGGAGCCAGGAUACGGACUCCGACUUGUCUGUGCUCGCUGGACAGAGAAGGAGACGAUCAGGUCGGCGGCCUCGCCGGCAACCGGUUUGCCGAAGCUCGACCUUGGCUCGUGCCCGUGGAUUACUGCCUCGCGUGCAACGAUGAGAUGAAGCAUCCCAAGGACGGCGCCUCCUACCAAGCCGGUCACCUCUACGCUGCCACAGAGGAAACCGCGCUUAGAUUGAUUAUUUAG